rnacentral:ncRNA from 1 species
CUUAUCAAGAGUGGCGGAGGGACUAGGCCCUUUGAUGCCCGGCAACCUAGCGGUUUGCGCUUUGUAGCAAGCCCUAAAGGUGCUAAUUCCUACAGAGCAAUGCUUUGACAGAUGAGG